UGGACUUCACAUGAAAUUCUGCCAUGAUUCCAGCUGCAAGGGAACGUACACGUUACAUUCAAAGUGCAUUAAAGUGCGCAAAAUGUUAUUUUGAAGUUAU